GGCGGCGGCAGCUUACACAUGCAAGUCGAGCGCACUCUUCGGAGUGAGCGGCGGACGGGUUAGUAACGCGUGGGAACGUGCCCUUCUCUAAGGAAUAGCCACUGGAAACGGUGAGUAAUACCUUAUACGCCCUUCGGGGGAAAGAUUUAUCGGAGAAGGAUCGGCCCGCGUUAGAUUAGAUAGUUGGUGGGGUAAUGGCCUACCAAGUCUACGAUCUAUAGCUGGUUUUAGAGGAUGAUCAGCAACACUGGGACUGAGACACGGCCCAGACUCCUACGGGAGGCAGCAGUGGGGAAUCUUGGACAAUGGGCGCAAGCCUGAUCCAGCCAUGCCGCGUGAGUGAUGAAGGCCUUAGGGUCGUAAAGCUCUUUCGCCAGAGAUGAUAAUGACAGUAUCUGGUAAAGAAACCCCGGCUAACUCCGUGCCAGCAGCCGCGGUAAUACGGAGGGGGUUAGCGUUGUUCGGAAUUACUGGGCGUAAAGCGCACGUAGGCGGAUCAGAAAGUAUAGGGUGAAAUCCCAGGGCUCAACCCUGGAACUGCCUUGUAAACUCCUGGUCUUGAGUUCGAGAGAGGUGAGUGGAAUUCCGAGUGUAGAGGUGAAAUUCGUAGAUAUUCGGAGGAACACCAGUGGCGAAGGCGGCUCACUGGCUCGAUACUGACGCUGAGGUGCGAAAGUGUGGGGAGCAAACAGGAUUAGAUACCCUGGUAG
rnacentral:rRNA from 1 species